rnacentral:rRNA from 1 species
GUGCCAGCAGCCGCGGUAAGACGUAGGGGGCCAGCGUUGCUCGGAAUUACUGGGCGUAAAGGGUCCGUAGGCGGUGCGGCAAGUCGGGGGUGAAAUCUCUGGGCUUAACUCAGAGGCUGCCUCCGAAACUGCCGUGCUCGAGUGCGGGAGAGGCGAGCGGAAUUGCAGGUGUAGCGGUGAAAUGCGUAGAUAUCUGCAGGAACACCCGUGGCGAAGGCGGCUCGCUGGACCGUGACUGACGCUGAGGGACGAAAGCUAGGGGAGCAAACAGGAUUAGAUACCCUCGUAGUCC